GGUACAUGUAAGACAGAGGGAAGCUGCUCCUCACAGGUGCUAGAAAAUGGCGGCAGUUGCAGCGUGCUGGGAAGGAGAUAGUUGUGAGGACCCUAACGGCUGUGUGAGGGAUGGAGUUGACUUUUAGUGUUUUGGUAUCUUUUUGCUACUAAUGAACUUUAUCUUUACAGAGUACUACGUACAGAUGAAACUCCCUUGUGAAACUUCAUUUGAGCACAAGGACAAACAUAGCAUGAGGAACCCAGCGAAUGUUCCAGGGUUGGAUGCUGCCAGGGUGAGAUGUAACUGCGUGGCACAAAGGAAUAUGCAGAGAGGUCCAAACUGGAAGUAGCUGUCUUGCACGGCUAGCAGGAAGGCUGGAUUAGUGCACAACUGACAAAGAGACGCCAUGCACCUUGACAAGAGACUGGGAAGUUGUUAGGAAUAACAAGGAAGAUGUCUGAAGGAGCAUGGAUAAGACUUCAAAGGUAUCUGGGAAAGCACAGAAGAUGGAUGAGAGAUUUCCCAUGGGGAGCCUUGCUGGACAGUGCACCUGGGCACAGGAAGCAAAGACCAUACCAGUUGCUGAUGCCUUCGGCAGAGCAGUCACUCGUGGAACUAGUGU